UACGUAGGGUGCAAGCGUUGUCCGGAAUUAUUGGGCGUAAAGAGCUUGUAGGCGGUUUGUCGCGUCUGCUGUGAAAUUUCGGGGCUCAACCCCGAACUUGCAGUGGGUACGGGCAGACUAGAGUGUGGUAGGGGAGACUGGAAUUCCUGGUGUAGCGGUGAAAUGCGCAGAUAUCAGGAGGAACACCGAUGGCGAAGGCAGGUCUCUGGGCCACUACUGACGCUGAGAAGCGAAAGCAGGGGGAGCGAACAGG
rnacentral:rRNA from 1 species